rnacentral:rRNA from 1 species
UACGGAGGAUCCAAGCGUUAUCCGGAUUUAUUGGGUUUAAAGGGUGCGCAGGCGGAAGAUUAAGUCGGCGGUGAAAUUUUGCAGCUCAACUGUAAAAGUGCCAUCGAUACUGGUUUUCUUGAGUGUGGAUGAAGUAGGCGGAAUUUGUGGUGUAGCGGUGAAAUGCAUAGAUAUCACGAGGAACUCCGAUUGCGCAGGCAGCUUACUAGACCAUAACUGACGCUCAGGCACGAAGGCGUGGGGAUCAAACAGGAUUAGA